rnacentral:misc_RNA from 1 species
CGAGAUCAAUCACCAUUGAGCAGUAUUUCGUGUACAAGUAGUAUGUAAAUGCUCAAACUUGUAUGCUCCAUUGCUCAUAAGAUCCCAAUAGCUUCUUGAUAUCAUGCUCAAUGCUGAGAGGUGAUGUUGUGGGGUAAUAACGAUCAACUACUUUCCCAUCCUUAUCAAUGAGAAACUUGGCAAAAUUCCACUGAAUAUCGUCCCCAAAUAUCCCCCAUUUGCCCAAUUUUAAAAAUUUGUAGAGUGGAGCAGAAUUGUUCCCAUUUACUUCAAUCUUGUCAAAAAUUGGAAAUUCUGAUUUGUAACGACUGCAGACAAAAUCUUUGAUCUCAUCAUUACUUCCCGGUUCCUCGUCACCAAACUGAUUACAAGGAAAUGCCAGAAUUUCCAAACCGUGUUCUUUGUAUUUGUCGUAUAGUUGGUUCAACUCCAGAUAGUUUGAAUUUGUCAUCCCACAUUUGGAAGCAACGUUGACAAUGAGUAGGACUUUACCCUUGUAUAUCCUAAGGUUGAUAUCAUUUCCCUCAGCAUCUUUGACGGUGAUGUCGUAAAUGGAUUCCGGGUGAUUUGAAGCUUG